rnacentral:rRNA from 1 species
GACGAACGCUGGCGGCGUGCUUAACACAUGCAAGUCGAACGGAAAGGCCCUGCUUUUGUGGGGUGCUCGAGUGGCGAACGGGUGAGUAACACGUGAGUAACCUGCCCUUGACUUUGGGAUAACUUCAGGAAACUGGGGCUAAUACCGGAUAGGAGCUCCUUCUGCAUGGUGGGGGUUGGAAAGUUUCGGCGGUUGGGGAUGGACUCGCGGCUUAUCAGCUUGUUGGUGGGGUAGUGGCUUACCAAGGCUUUGACGGGUAGCCGGCAUGAGAGGGUGACCGGCCACAUUGGGACUGAGAGACGGACCAGACUCCUACGGGAGGCAGCAGUGGGGAAUAUUGCACAAUGGGAGGAAGCCUGAUGCAGCAACGCCGCGUGCGGGAUGACGGCCUUCGGGUUGUAAACCGCUUUCGCCUGUGACGAAGCGUGAGUGACGGUAAUGGGUAAAGAAGCACCGGCUAACUACGUG